rnacentral:rRNA from 1 species
AUGGUGGAUGCUGGGCGCAUCCAUCCCCGGUUGAUUCUGCCCACAAGGCAGCCCGAGUCCGUCGACGCUUGGUCCCGCGCGGAACUCGUCGAUCCCCGCGCAAAGCCGGUGCUGGAGAGGAUGGACGCGGACCUGUGGCCGGGCAACAUGGCAACGGCGAAGCUGACCGGGGCAUCGCUCCUGAGGGAGUUCCUGGAGCACCGGGUGGCUCCGCUUCGAGAACAUUCGCCCCCGCUGUGGAGGCUCGGGGGGGCCGAUGCCGCCCUUGGCCCAAGCUCCGUGGUCCUGGCCGACAAAGAUCUGGCCGUAGUCCUCCAAUCCUUGGUUGGGGGAGACGUGGCAAGAUUGGAGGGGGCUCCUGUACCCCUGUUCCUUCGGGAUGAUUGGGAGCAGGUGGUGAACUCCAUGCCCGCUUUCGACGGGGACGGGCCCGUGCCCGCGGAGGUCCCUGAGGACCUGGCGGCCCUGGCGACGGUGAACGUAUCCUCCGGCGACUCCAGCAGAGAGGAGGAAGAAGAGGAGCAUGAAGAGGAGCCCGAUGCCGAGGCGACCGACGGGGAGUCGAGAGCACCCCUCCCUCAGCGCAGGUCCCGCGCUCUUCGCCUUAUGCCGGACGACGACGAGGAUGGCGACGAGCGAGGCGGCGAGAGCUCGCCCCUAAUCCCGAAGAAGGACAGGCCGGGGCUAGUUCUCCGCGGGUCCGCUCUGGCUCCGAGGCGAUCUGCAGACGCGCCUCCUACUCCCGAGUCUCUUGAGGUUGAUCCCAGCAGCCGGCUCUCGGGCUUCAAGUUCGGACGGAGGUUGCUUGAGCCCGUGGGCGAUGACCAGUAA